GACGAACGCUGGCGGCGUGCUUAACACAUGCAAGUCGAACGGAAAGGCCCUGCUUUUGUGGGGUGCUCGAGUGGCGAACGGGUGAGUAACACGUGAGUAACCUGCCCUUGACUUUGGGAUAACUUCAGGAAACUGGGGCUAAUACCGGAUAGGAGCUCCUGCUGCAUGGUGGGGGUUGGAAAGUUUCGGCGGUUGGGGAUGGACUCGCGGCUUAUCAGCUUGUUGGUGGGGUAGUGGCUUACCAAGGCUUUGACGGGUAGCCGGCCUGAGAGGGUGACCGGCCACAUUGGGACUGAGAGACGGCCCAGACGCCUACGGGACGCAGCAGGGGGGAAUAUUGCAGAAUGGGCGGAAGCCUGAUGCAGCAACGCCGCGUGCGGGAUGACGGGCUUCGGGUUGUAAACCGCUUUCGCAGGUGACGAAGCGUGAGUGACGGUAAUGGGUAAAGAAGCACCGGCUAACUACGUG
rnacentral:rRNA from 1 species